GGGGCUAUGGCGCAGUUGGCUAGCGCGUUUGUAUGGCAUACAAAAGGUCGCCGGUUCGAACCCGGCUAGCUCCA
rnacentral:tRNA from 1 species